rnacentral:rRNA from 1 species
UGAGUAACGCGUGGGUAACCUGCCCUAUGCAGGGGGAUAACACAUCGAAAGAUGUGCUAAUACCCCAUAAUACUAAUCAUGCACAUGCUUGAUUAGUCAAAGGGUUUCCGGCAUAGGAUGGACCCGCGUCUGAUUAGCUAGUUGGUGGGGUAAAGGCCUACCAAGGCGACGAUCAGUAGCCGACCUGAGAGGGUGAUCGGCCACACUGGAACUGAGACACGGUCCAGACUCCUACGGGAGGCAGCAGUGGGGAAUAUUGCACAAUGGGCGAAAGCCUGAUGCAGCAACGCCGCGUGAGCGAUGAAGGCCUUCGGGUCGUAAAGCUCUGUCCUAAGGGAAGAAUAAUGACGGUACCUUAGGAGGAAGCCCCG